rnacentral:tRNA from 1 species
GAUGGUCUAGUGGUAUGAUUCUCGCUUAGGGAUUACUCUGAGUAUGAUUGCGAGAGGCCCCGCGUUCGAAUCGCGGUAAGACCCA